rnacentral:rRNA from 1 species
UACAGAGGUCCCAAGCGUUGUUCGGAUUCACUGGGCGUAAAGGGUGCGUAGGCGGUCGGGUAAGUCUGAUGUGAAAUCUCACAGCUUAACUGUAAAACUGCAUUGGAUACUAUCCGGCUCGAGGAAUGGAGGGGAGACUGGAAUACUUGGUGUAGCAGUGAAAUGCGUAGAUAUCAAGUGGAACACCAGUGGCGAAGGCGAGUCUCUGGACAUUUCCUGACGCUGAGGCACGAAAGCCAGGGGAGCAAACGGG